CAGCUGAUAAUCAUAAUUGAUUAAGAAAUAACCUGGAAGAAGAAAUGAGUUAACUAUUGAUUAUAACAGAGACGAGAAUGCCAUCGUGUUUGUUCUGCUAAAAAAAGCAGGAACAUUGGAGUUUAUGGUUAGAUUUUAAAUAUUUAUUGUCUCCAAACUGGGUAAAUUUGAUAUAGUAACAACCCCCCCUUUUUUUUUUAAAUAACUCGAGAACCACAC
rnacentral:lncRNA from 1 species